UACACGAAACAAAUUUGAUUUAUUUUGUAAAUAAUAUUUGAAUUCUUAAUUAUAAUUAAUUGUUUUUUUUUGCACCACAUCACAUGGAACGACUCAAGAACAGCAUAAUAUUUCAAGAACUACGCGCUUAAGACAAAAUUAAAGGUCCGCCUACAUCCAUGCAAUCGGUAGACACAACACCUGAGCCUCCAGAAGAUUCGUUACAUCUCUCGCGAGAAUUAAUUGAUUGCCCGCGAUCGAGAAUCAACCGAAUGUUGAAUUUGGUGGAGAACCUUUGGGGAUUGGGGAAAAGAACGAAGAAGCGUAACUUUAUGACUACUGGUGGGAGCGAGAAGUCAGCAACUAGAGCGCGAACAUGAAAUCCGAUUCGGAACUCUUCGCGAAAAGAUGACUGUGCCCUGACUAUUUAAUCUGAGGGCUCCAAAAUUCCAUUUCACUUUGCCUGGUUAGUUCAAACGUUUCUAAAGUUUUUCCCGUGAUCCGCGAUUUCUCAAAAGAUUAGCUAGUUUCCCCCAAGUGCCGAUUAUUCGUUAUAGUGUGAGCCAAGAAAAGUUAAGAAAGCCGUUCGACGGCUUUAUGUUUCGGAUACAGGCACCUCGUGAAACAACCGUCGUGAACAUCCACCAGGCAAGCCGCCGGCCCACAUCCAUCGGUGGCCGAAGGGGCCGCGCCGUUCAUAUCGCGCCCAACAUCAUCCCGCAUCUACGUCCACGUAAGUGAGUGAUCCCACCUGUGAACCUACGUAGUGCGAACCGUAACCGGGGCCGUUUUGAAUCCCCAAGCCGGUCUGCCGUCGAUAAGCUUAACAGCAUCGGCGGUCAAGUUUCAAGUCUUUGGACCACCACGUGAUCGGGAAUCAACUCACCAGCAAGACCGCUUAACGCUGUAGGUGAAUUGAUCAACGCGUUUCCUGCUUCUUUUCCCACGCCGGUGAACAAUAGCGGU